rnacentral:rRNA from 1 species
GACGAACGCUGGCGGCGUGCUUAACACAUGCAAGUCGAGCGGUAAGGCCCUUUCGGGGGUACACGAGCGGCGAACGGGUGAGUAACACGUGGGUGACCUGCCCUCAGCUCUGGGAUAAGCCUGGGAAACUGGGUCUAAUACUGGAUAUGACUCCACGGUGCAUGUCGUGGGGCGGAAAGCCUUGUGCGGCUGAGGAUGGGCCCGCGGCCUAUCAGCUUGUUGGUGGGGNGAUGGCCUACCAAGGCGACGACGGGUAGCCGGCCUGAGAGGGCGACCGGCCACACUGGGACUGAGACACGGCCCAGACUCCUACGGGAGGCAGCAGUGGGGAAUCUUGCGCAAUGGGCGAAAGCCUGACGCAGCGACGCCGCGUGAGGGAUGACGGCCUGGUGUAAC